AAUGUGAUAUGCCUCGAAAUCUUCCAGUUUUCAAAACUCAAGGGGCGCAUUCAGCUUCAAGCAGCUCCUGUUUUCUCCUUUGUCUGCAAUAAUCCCCGAGGCGAGGAAACACUGAGGGUCCAGACACCUGUUUACUAGAGCCAGAGGAAGCACUAGGAACCCCAACGAAGUCUGGGAUCAAGCCCCCAUGUUGCUGAGUGCUUCCAGAUGGCAAUAGAAAGAGCAAUGAAAAAGGAGUGUUCAAAUGAGAGAUCUGAGAACUGAGAAUUGGAAGAGACAAGGCAAAGGUCUUCCACCAUUUUCUAGCAACUUUGCACCCACCAUGGAGAGAAGUCAGCAUGACAUUUGCAACCUGUGAUCUCUACACCCAACGUGGGCCUUGAACCAUAAGCCUGAGAUCGAGAUGCCGCUUGACCAACUGAGACAACUAGGCACCUCAGUAAAGAUCCCUGUAACUACCUCAAAAGAAAAAACA